GACGAACGCUGGCGGCGUGCCUAAUACAUGCAAGUAGAACGCACAGUUUAUACCGUAGCUUGCUACACCAUAGACUGUGAGUUGCGAACGGGUGAGUAACGCGUAGGUAACCUGCCUGGUAGCGGGGGAUAACUAUUGGGAACGAUAGCUAAUACCGCAUAAUAUUAAUUAUUGCAUGAUAAUUAAUUGAAAGGUGCAAUUGCACCACUACCAGAUGGACCUGCGUUGUAUUAGCUAGUAGGUGAGGUAACGGCUCACCUAGGCGACGAUACAUAGCCGACCUGAGAGGGUGAACCGCCACCCUGGGAAUGAGACACGGCCCAGACUCCCACGGGAGGCAGCAGUAGGGAAUCUUCGGCAAUGGACGAAAGUCUGACCGAGCAACGCCGCGUGAGUGAAGAAGGUUUUCGGAUCGUAAAGCUCCGUUGUAAGAGAAGAACGGGUGGGAGAGUGGAAAGUUCACACUGUGACGGUAUCUAACCAGAAAGGGACGGCUAACUACGUG
rnacentral:rRNA from 1 species